AUGGCCCGAGCAUGGAGACAUCAUUUUCAUGCGAUUUCUCAAGUAUCUGCAAAUCUCUUCAUGGCCCAUUUUACCUCUCAAGAAUCCAUGAUGUUUGUUCUUAUGCGUCAGCCAUGGACAAUGGGUUCAGAUAAUCUACUCAUUGAAUGGAUAGACCUAGCAAAUGAAUCUAAGACGAAGGAUGAUUACAAGUUUGACCACAUAUAUGUGAGUGUUCGUGUUUAUGGGAUCCUCUCUACUGUUGGCAAGCCGUCUGAAUUUCACCCUUUGCAAGAAAGCAUGUUGUUUGCUAGAUCAGACUAUAUUUGGGCAACUACAAAGAUUAGAAUUAGUGAUUCAAUUGUGGACAAAAUCAGCUUGACAUUGGAUGAAAAGAACUCUAAAACGGUCUAUCUUUAUUAUGAAAAGAUUGGCAGAAUCUGCUUGUUUUGUGGAGUGAUGUUUCAUACAGUCCAACAUUGCCAGAAGAGGAAUAACAUUAUUAUGGAAAGGGUGAGAAGUGGACAAACAACAGAAGAUAUUCCCUUUUUCAGAUAUGGAGAAUGGGUAAUGGACUCAGGUAAAAUUCCAUCACAGGCCAUUGAAAAAGAAAUAGCCACAAAUCCCAUUCUGAGCAGAUUUCAAAAGAUGUUUCAGGAGGAUCUGAAUAAGGAAAGAGUCAAACCAGUCCAGGGUAAACAGAUCUGCACCCAAGUUUCCCUACAAGGCAAUACUACUAUGGUAGCACUGGUCCAACUUUCACUACAGAGAAGCAAAGUAAUCAGAAUAUGUACACAAGAGAGGGACAAGUCAAAGGUACUGGUGGUGCCGAAAUGCACAGGACAACUUCAUUUAACAAUUCUGGAAUUCAUGACUUUGAAAUGGAGGUUUUGCUUGAGAAUGUUCAGUAUGGACAGAAGCUUGGGCCUGGAAUGGUCCAACGAUAUAUGA
rnacentral:rRNA from 1 species